CUCCUCCUUGCCUUUCACCUUCUGCCAUGAUCGUGAAGUCUCCCCAGCCAUGUGGAACUGUAAAGAAAGCAGGAAACUGUGACUAAAUGAAGAUCACAGAGCCAGUUGAUCAGUGGGGAAGCUGCAUCUGAAAUCCAGGACUUCUAGAUCCUGGGUCAACUGGUAAUCACAAGCGUACAGAUAACAGGCAGGCAGGAAUGUGAAAAUCAGAGAGAAGAGAGAUGUGCACCAGAAGCUGGAGUAAUGUGCUUUGAAGAUGGAGGAAGGGACCAUAAAUCAAGGAAUGCAGACAGCCUGUAGAAGCUGGGAAAGGCAAGGAUGUGGAUUCACUCGAGUCUCUAGAAGAAACGCAACCCCGCCAACACCUUGAUUUGAGGACGUCUGACCUUCAGAAUGAGAAAAUGAUACAUUUGUGUUGUAAGCCACCCAGUUUGUGAAAUAUGUAUCAACAAUUGAAAACUAGUACAUAGUCAAAUACUCAAUCUCUGUUUUUUUUAGCUUAUCAUUUUCAAUCUCUGUCUCCAACCCACAAACCACAUGCAUCAUAAAUAAAUUAAAAUACCAAAA
rnacentral:lncRNA from 10 species